AUGAAGGAGUUUCAGAAGAAGGGACAAGUGACUGUUACUUGUCUUCUGGUUGGCACACGUCUUAAUGAUUUCUCUAUCACCUGGAAAGUAGAUGGUAAACGUUCCCUGAAUGUUCAUACAGAGCCACCAGUGAGUCACAGGAAUGGGACAGAGACUUUGCGGAGCUUCCUCAAAGUGUUGGCAGAGGACUGGCACGCACAUAAACAAGUGUCUUGUGAAGGAAAGCACCGAUGUGCCAUUUACAGCUACAAGGACCAUAUAAGCAAAAGCAGAGAUAAUUUGGAGAAAUGUGAUUUCUUUCAUGACAUCAUGCAUGCUGAUGUGAACCAAGACACAGACUAAAUGAUCAUGAUCACAGGACAGAUCCCAUCUUGUAAUCCAAAUGUGGACUUUGGGGGUUUUCACUGGCAUAUGGCCUGACUAGUUUUAAAUUUCUUUCUUUUUAAAUGUCUUUUUAUUUUCUCUCUUUAAUGGAAUUGGUUUAUACUAUACUCAUCUGAUGCUUCACUGUAAUUGCUGUAAUGCAUAUAAAAAAGGAUAAGAUAAGUCUAAAAUACAUAAAAUAAAUGAAUUAAUAAAUAAAUUAUUUUUAAUUAUUUCUUCAUAAAUAAAUAAUGA